GGCUUCGGGUGGUGUCGUCAGCUCCGGGUCGGGUCGUUUGGUUGGUUCUGGCUGGCUAAAAGGGGAAGGGACGAGGAGGUAAGGAAAGGAAGAGGAGGACGGGACGGGACGGCGGCAGCGGCAGCGGCAGUCGGCAGCGGGGGGCGGCGGCGGAAGUGCGAGGCUAAGCAGACGGGUGGUCAGUCGUCGUCGUCGUCGUUGAAUCAGCAGCAACAGCAGCUACCGUCCCAAACCGUCGGACCGUGGGUUCUACUUCUUGCACCACCACCGCCCGCCCGACUGCCCCAAGCAGAAGCCCCACAUGAUGAUGUGGUACACCCGCCAUCCGUCGUGGCUGCUCGACGUCCAGUGGUAGCUGUUCAAACUCCUGGACUUCUUCUUCCUCCGUCGGCGGAGGCGGCGACGGCGUUCGCGGAGUUGGGGCCCUAGGAGUAUUUGUUUACGCGGGAAUUGAAACUUUGAUCGACGACGGAGACUUGGACGGGUCCUGGUACCCAAACCAAACAUAACUAUUAUUAUUACCCACGAAAAUCUCCUUUAUGGGUUACCAAGGACCCAUGUAUACAUGGGAUAUACCCCUAAAUAAAAAUUAUCAAUUUGUUUUUCAGUUUUAUCAAUUCUUUGAUAAAAAUCUUAUUUCAACUGAAUGAAUGCGUGAUCAUAUGUAUUAAAAGUGUUUUUUCUUUUUCUACAACUGAAGUGUCGCUUUUUCUGUUUUAAAUAAACGAUAAUAUCCAGUGAUAAGUGCGAUAAAACUGGCCUUUAAACAGAAAAAACUUUUCUUCAGUUUUCCUAUAAAAAAAACACCUAAAAUAAAAAGUGCUCAUGUUAUCUUCCAGUUCAAAUAAAGUUUUUAUAAAAGUCCUUAAAAACUGAAAAACAACUUAAUGAUUAAAAAAAGGGUAUAUCCCACGUAUACAGGGGUAUCUGGUUUUCAAGGGGAGGCACGAAAAUCAAUCUACGUCGUAAAAGUAAGUACCGUACCUACCUCAAACCUCAACUACUACGAAAAACAAACACUUACCAUCG
rnacentral:rRNA from 1 species